GGGAAUAUUGGACAAUGGGGGAAACCCUGAUCCAGCGACGCCGCGUGUGUGAAGAAGGCCUGCGGGUUGUAAAGCACUUUUAGUGGGGACAAAAAGCCAUGGACUAAUACUCUGUGGUCUUGAUUUAACCUACAGAAAAAGCACCGGCUAACUCUGUGCCAGCAGCCGCGGUAAUACAGAGGGUGCGAGCGUUAAUCGGAAUUACUGGGCGUAGAGCGCGCGUAGACGGUUUUGUAAGUCAGAUGUGAAAUCCCUGGGCUCAACCUGGGAACUGCAUUUGAGACUGCAUGGCUAGAGUAUCGAAGAGGGAAGUGGAAUUUCCGGCGUAGCGGUGAAAUGCGUAGAUAUCGGAAGGAACACCAGUGGCGAAAGCGACUUCCUGGUCGAAUACUGACGUUCAUGUGCGAAAGCGUGGGGAGCAAAC
rnacentral:rRNA from 1 species